rnacentral:rRNA from 1 species
AUGCAGUCGAACGAUGAACCUGGAGCUUGCUCUAGGGAGUUAGUGGCGAACGGGUGAGUAACACGUGAGUAACCUGCCCUUGACUCUGGGAUAACCUCCGGAAACGGAAGCUAAUACCGGAUAUGACGCACGGAGGCAUCUCCUGUGCGUGGAAAGAACUUCGGUCAAGGAUGGACUCGCGGCCUAUCAGGUAGUUGGUGAGGUAACGGCUCACCAAGCCUACGACGGGUAGCCGGCCUGAGAGGGUGACCGGCCACACUGGGACUGAGACACGGCCCAGACUCCUACGGGAGGCAGCAGUGGGGAAUAUUGCACAAUGGGCGCAAGCCUGAUGCAGCAACGCCGCGUGAGGGACGACGGCCUUCGGGUUGUAAACCUCUUUUAGUAGGGAAGAAGCGAAAGUGACGGUACCUGCAGAAAAAGCACCGGCUAACUACGUGCCAGCAGCCGCGGUAAUACGUAGGGUGCGAGCGUUGUCCGGAAUUAUUGGGCGUAAAGAGCUCGUAGGCGGUCUGUCGCGUCUGCUGUGAAAACCCGAGGCUCAACCUCGGGCCUGCAGUGGGUACGGGCAGACUAGAGUGCGGUAGGGGAGAAUGGAAUUCCUGGUGUAGCGGUGGAAUGCGCAGAUAUCAGGAGGAACACCGAUGGCGAAGGCAGUUCUCUGGGCCGUAACUGACGCUGAGGAGCGAAAGCGUGGGGA